GUUUAACACAUGCAAGUCGAGGGGCAGCAUGGUCUUAGCUUGCUAAGGCCGAUGGCGACCGGCGCACGGGUGAGUAACACGUAUCCAACCUGCCGUCUACUCUUGGACAGCCUUCUGAAAGGAAGAUUAAUACAAGAUGGCAUCAUGAGUCCGCAUGUUCACAUGAUUAAAGGUAUUCCGGUAGACGAUGGGGAUGCGUUCCAUUAGAUAGUAGGCGGGGUAACGGCCCACCUAGUCUUCGAUGGAUAGGGGUUCUGAGAGGAAGGUCCCCCACAUUGGAACUGAGACACGGUCCAAACUCCUACGGGAGGCAGCAGUGAGGAAUAUUGGUCAAUGGGCGAGAGCCUGAACCAGCCAAGUAGCGUGAAGGAUGACUGCCCUAUGGGUUGUAAACUUCUUUUAUAAAGGAAUAAAGUCGGGUAUGGAUACCCGUUUGCAUGUACUUUAUGAAUAAGGAUCGGCUAACUCCGUGCCAGCAGCCGCGGUAAUACGGAGGAUCCGAGCGUUAUCCGGAUUUAUUGGGUUUAAAGGGAGCGUAGAUGGAUGUUUAAGUCAGUUGUGAAAGUUUGCGGCUCAACCGUAAAAUUGCAGUUGAUACUGGAUAUCUUGAGUGCAGUUGAGGCAGGCGGAAUUCGUGGUGUAGCGGUGAAAUGCUUAGAUAUCACGAAGAACUCCGAUUGCGAAGGCAGCCUGCUAAGCUGCAACUGACAUUGAGGCUCGAAAGUGUGGGUAUCAAACAGGAUUAGAUACCCUGGUAGUCCACACGGUAAACGAUGAAUACUCGCUGUUUGCGAUAUACUGCAAGCGGCCAAGCGAAAGCGUUAAGUAUUCCACCUGGGGAGUACGCCGGCAACGGUGAAACUCAAAGGAAUUGACGGGGGCCCGCACAAGCGGAGGAACAUGUGGUUUAAUUCGAUGAUACGCGAGGAACCUUACCCGGGCUUAAAUUGCAGAUGAAUUACGGUGAAAGCCGUAAGCCGCAAGGCAUCUGUGAAGGUGCUGCAUGGUUGUCGUCAGCUCGUGCCGUGAGGUGUCGGCUUAAGUGCCAUAACGAGCGCAACCCUUGUUGUCAGUUACUAACAGGUUCCGCUGAGGACUCUGACAAGACUGCCAUCGUAAGAUGUGAGGAAGGUGGGGAUGACGUCAAAUCAGCACGGCCCUUACGUCCGGGGCUACACACGUGUUACAAUGGGGGGUACAGAGGGCCGCUACCACGCGAGUGGAUGCCAAUCCCCAAAACCUCUCUCAGUUCGGACUGGAGUCUGCAACCCGACUCCACGAAGCUGGAUUCGCUAGUAAUCGCGCAUCAGCCACGGCGCGGUGAAUACGUUCCCGGGCCUUGUACACACCGCCCGUCAAGCCAUGGGAGCCGGGGGUACCUGAAGUGCGUAACCGCGAGGAGCGCCCUAGGGUAAAACUGGUGACUGGGGCUAA
rnacentral:rRNA from 1 species